UCCCUCACCCAUUCUGAAAAAGACCACUUUAGAUCCAUAAUUGGCAACGAUUAAAAUGAAAAAAAAAAUACUUAAACAAAAAGUGAAAAUCUUGGUAGGCCAAGCUGAAGGUGAGAAUCCAGAAGCAUGGAAGAAAAACAGGCUUGCAAUGGUGCUCUACACAUAGCUGAAGGUUUUCAGGUAGAAGACUGUGUGGAAUUCCUUGGCAAAUAAAUAAAGAAACGAGGUAAAAUCAAAUCAGAAAAUAAAAUAAAUUGGGCUGAUCGCAACGAAGAAAAGGAAAAGAGAAAGGAAUGACAACAGAAAAAGAGAAGGGAAUGACAACAGAAAAAGAGAAAAGCCAACAUUAAGAAAAAGAAACUGAAAAAAAAGAACAUACAGUGAUUAAACCAAAUCAAAAAAAGGAAAAUUUAUCGUAUGAAAUAAUGAUACAGACUCAUAGAUGAGCUAAACUCGUGUUCUUUCAUGUGCAAACCAUGGCGCGACAGUCUUUUAGAAAAAUACACUGGCAUGCCUUUCAUGA